rnacentral:lncRNA from 1 species
CAUUGGGGUGUGAGAGUUCAACACCCCAAUAGGACAGAAGCAAACACAAAUUUAGGGUCUCUUACCUUGAAGCAUCCAUGUCCCAUUAUUUUAAGAGAUUUCAAUAAUAACUUGAGGCUUCCUUACCGUUUUAGUUACAUUAGUAGACAUCAAAUGCAACACAUCAUUCUCCUUGUAGUGGAUCACCUAUUUGGCUUCCAACUUUAAUUUGAUAUAUUUUUGAAUUUCAAACUAAAAUUUGGGAUCAGAUCUGUGGGUUCUGAUUUCAGAAAUUUCUAUACAUUAGUAGGAUAUUUAUAUGCAUGUAUUUAUUCGUAGAUUUGUUCGCUAGAAAUUGAUUCUGUUGACUGUUCGUAGAUUUUCUUUCUUUCUCUCCUAACUACCAAACCUCUCAAUUCCAAACCAUGAUGAGUCUUUAAUUAUACAUUCAAAUCAAUCUCUCUCUCUCUCUCUCUAUAAUUCUCUCUAUGGUUUUGUGUCAUAUAUAUCACGUGAGGAGCACAAGAAAGGUGAAUUUUGAUUUGUAUAUCCAUCAAUUUUAGGUAAUUUUGAUUUGUGUAUCCAUCAAUUUUAGGUAACUUUUAAUUUAGAUUUGUAGUUAUUUUUCAUCUCUACCUUAUGCUUAUCGAUUUGUGUAUAUGAUGUGUAUGUUUUUAAAUGGGAACCCUCAUUAUAAAACAGAGGAGCUUAUGUUGUUUUGAAUAUAAAAUUUUAGUACUUUUUUAUGUAAACUUUUUAGAGAUGAUUGGAGGGAGUGGACUGGCCAAUUAGAUGAUGAAUCUCAAGGUUUUGAUUAUAGUUGUACAUUACUUAUUUGCUGGAAUGACACAAAGAGUACGUACAUAGUUAUUAUUAUUAUUACUACUAUUAUUAUUAUUAUUAUUGUUAUUGUUAUUGUUAUUGUUAUUAGUACUAUUAUUUUUAUUUAUUUAUUUUUUAUUAUUAUUAUUAUUUAACUGGCCUAAGGUCCAAAACUAUUCACAUUGUCUAUUUAUAAUCCUCAGAAAUUAAACUCUUUCAUAUAUAAAUAAAUAAAUAUCAUCCAUUUUCCCUUCUACACAUCUUCAUCCCGCUUAUUCCCGCUCCGAUUCGGUGAUUUCCUCCGUCAGUUUUCGCUUCAGGUACUUUCUCUCUCACACACAAAACACCCUGAGAAUUUCUGUACGUUUAAACUGAUUGAUACUGUUUGAUCCUUAAUUCCUUUAGUUUUGUUUAUUUUUCCACAAUAUUGGACUUAGAUCUACGGUUUCUGAUCCGAACUACAUUUUAGUUCGUGAUCACUCUCGCAUCUAGGUUGAGAUCCGAAUAACUACGGCUAUAU